rnacentral:rRNA from 1 species
AUUGAACGCUGGCGGCAGGCUUAACACAUGCAAGUCGAACGAGUGGCGGACGGGUGAGUAAUGCUUGGGAAACUAGCUUAUGGAGGGGGAUAACUACUGGAAACUGUAGCUAAUACCGCGUACCAUAGGAUGAGCCCACGUGGGAUUAGUGAGUGGGUGAGGUAAAGGCUCACCAAGCCGACGAUCCCUAGCGGGUCUGCGAGGAUGACCAGCCACACUGUGACUGAGCCACGCCCCAGACUCCUACGGGAGGCAGCAGUGGGGACUAUUGCGCAAUGGGGGCAACCUGACGCAGCCAUGCCGCGUGAAUGAAGAAGGCCUUCGGGUUGUAAAGUGCUUUCGGUAGCGAGGCGUUAACUACAGAAGAAGCACCGGCUAACUCCGUGCCAGCCGCCGCGGUAAUUC